UACGAAGGGGGCUAGCGUUGCUCGGAAUCACUGGGCGUAAAGCGCACGUAGGCGGCUUUUUAAGUCAGGGGUGAAAUCCUGGAGCUCAACUCCAGAACUGCCUUUGAUACUGAGAAGCUUGAGUCCGGGAGAGGUGAGUGGAACUGCGAGUGUAGAGGUGAAAUUCGUAGAUAUUCGCAAGAACACCACUGGCGAAGGCGGCUCACUGGCCCGGUACUGACGCUGAGGUGCGAAAGCGUGGGGAGCAAACAGG
rnacentral:rRNA from 1 species